rnacentral:SRP_RNA from 1 species
CCGUGCUAGCCGGGGAACUAGCGGUGCCCUGUACCUGCAAUCCGCUACAGCAGGGGUGAUGUUCUGUUUCGGAUGUCUUGUUCACGGAGCUGCCCGGUUAUGGGGGCGUUGAUGUUCUGGUCUUACGCAAUGGAAACUUACGAACCGUGUCAGGAGGGGAACCUAGCAGCACUAAGUAAGAACUUCUGUGUGCCGUGAGGGUGCUGGAGCUGAGUCUGCUGUGCCGGUA